GCUGACAUCAGGGCAGGAGAUCCAUCAGGAAAAGAAGAACCAAAAGCAGCAGACUCCUUAGAUGGUAACAGCUCAGUAAGCACUCGAGGGACCAGAGAAUUCAGCACAGCGGAGUCCUUAGAGCGGGACAGGUUUCUAGAAAAGCAUCGCUUGGAUCUGAUAAACAGAGUGCUCAUGGUAGAUCCUGUCCUUGAUAACCUCCAGGACCAAGGUGUCCUGGAACAACAGCAAUAUGACCGCCUAAGAAGAGAGACGUCCAUCAGCAGGAAAAUGACAGCGCUCUUCAAUAUUGUAACUGACUGGGCGGAACAUUCCAAGAACCUGUUCUAUACGUCUUUAUAUUUA